UUACCGGCUAAAAUUUCAAUCUCAAUUAGGUACCAGACCAACUCACAAAGGGAAGGGACUUACGGGCUUGUGCUACAGGGCGAGUUCUUGCUCCCACUCAGACUGAGCGAGAAGCUGCAUUCCCACAGAAGAAGCAGAGUGGUGCAGGCAAAGGCAGUUGGUGGUAAAUUCUGCUAGAAAUUAAAUUUCAAACCGAUGUUUAAAAUAGAUCACCAAUCUACAAAUCUGAUUUAAAAGCCUGAGUUGGAAAGAUGCAGGAGUCCUCAUUCCUGGAAUUUGCUGGGAUUUGUCAGUAACUUGGGUAGUAUAGAAAUGACCUUCUUCUGGUCACUGGACAAGGUCCAUCAGCCAUUUGCUGCCUGUGCUUUGCCCAUGGAUUCCCAGCAAAAUCAAUGAGUGGGCAGGGGAUCUCUGAACCCUGGUUGACGCAGGAUCAGAGAGCUCAUCACUUAAAGCAGAAGGCAAGAAGAUGACAGCCUACAGUCAGACUGAGAGGAAGUCACAUCAGGGCGAUUGUUACAUGGAACUUGGAACACCGUUAUAAUCCUACCAGGGGAAAACAGAGUUGAAGUGAGGGGAAUGAUUUUUUC